rnacentral:rRNA from 1 species
AACGAACGCUGGCGGCAGGCCUAACACAUGCAAGUCGAACGAAGUCUUCGGACUUAGUGGCGCACGGGUGAGUAACACGUGGGAAUAUACCUUACGCUGGGGGAUAACAUCGGGAAACUGAUGCUAAUACCGCAUACGCCCUUCGGGGGAAAGAUUUAUCGGCGAAAGAUUAGCCCGCGUCCGAUUAGCUAGUUGGUGAGGUAAUGGCUCACCAAGGCUCCGAUCGGUAGCUGGUCUGAGAGGAUGACCAGCCACACUGGGACUGAGACACGGCCCAGACUCCUACGGGAGGCAGCAGUGGGGAAUAUUGGACAAUGGGCGCAAGCCUGAUCCAGCCAUGCCGCGUGAGUGAUGAAGGCCUUGGGGUUGUAAAGCUCUUUCACCCACGACGAUGAUGACGGUAGUGGGAGAAGAAGCCCCGGCUAACUUCGUG